rnacentral:rRNA from 1 species
UACGGAGGGUGCAAGCGUUAUCCGGAUUCACUGGGUUUAAAGGGUGCGUAGGCGGGUAGGUAAGUCAGUGGUGAAAUCUCGAAGCUUAACUUCGAAACUGCCAUUGAUACUAUUUAUCUUGAAUAUUGUGGAGGUUUGCGGAAUAUGUCAUGUAGCGGUGAAAUGCUUAGAUAUGACAUAGAACACCUAUUGCGAAGGCAGCAGGCUACACAUAUAUUGACGCUGAGGCACGAAAGCGUGGGGAUCAAACAGG